CUCCCUCCUCCACAGCUGUAGCUGGCUUUUCAUCUAUGGCAAGCUGACUAAAUUCAAGGGCAGUGUCGGUUCAUGCUAGCCACACUCAUUUGGGUGAUUGUAUAAGACUGCAGGAAAAGUCCCUGGUAUAUGAACUGAUGGUGCAAUGAGAUUUCUGGCAUUCUUGGCUCAUGGGGACACAGCCCCCUACUCUGGGCUGUGGAGUGGCUGAAAGAAGAGAUAAUCUCAUCUCAGAGAACAAUUUGGAGGUGGAUUAAAGGCCCAAUUCUUCUAUGCCUGAGGAGUUUUUAGAAGAUUGAUUAGAUGAACAAGUUUGAGAACAGCAUCACAACACAGUUCUGGACCUUGCUCAGCCCUCUCCAGCUCAGUGCCCCAAAUGAGUAUCAGAGAUUUAUCAAAGGGGAAGGAUCCUUAGAAGUCACCUAGUAAGUCCAAGUCUCUUAUUUUACUAAUGAGAAC